GACGAACGCUGGCGGCGUGCUUAACACAUGCAAGUCGAACGGAAAGGCCCGGCUUUUGUGGGGUGCUCGAGUGGCGAACGGGUGAGUAACACGUGAGUAACCUGCCCUUGACUUUGGGAUAACUUCAGGAAACUGGGGCUAAUACCGGAUAGGAGCUCCUGCUGCAUGGUGGGGGUGGGAAAGUUUCGGCGGUUGGGGAUGGACUCGCGACUUAUCAGCUUGUUGGUGGGGUAGUGGCUUACCAAGGCUUUGACGGGUAGCCGGCCUGAGAGGGUGACCGGCCACAAUGGCACUGGGAUAGGGGCAAGACUCAAACGGGGGGCAGGGGUGGGAAUUUUUGCACAAUGGGCCGAAGCAGUAUACAGCAGUGUCGGGUGCGGGAUCACGGUUUUCAGGGUGUAAACCGCUUUCGCCUGUGACGAAGCGUGAGUGACGGUAACGGGUAAAGAAGCACCGGCUAACUACGUG
rnacentral:rRNA from 1 species